rnacentral:rRNA from 1 species
CGGACGGGUGAGUAACGCGUGAGAAUCUAGCUUCAGGUUGGGGACAACCACUGGAAACAGUGGCUAAUACCGAAUAAGCCGUAAUAGGUGAAAGAUUAAUUGCCUGGAGAUGAGCUCGCGUCUGAUUAGCUAGUUGGUAGGGUAAGAGCCUACCAAGGCGUCGAUCAGUAGCUGGUCUGAGAGGACGAUCAGCCACACUGGGACUGAGACACGGCCCAGACUCCUACGGGAGGCAGCAGUGGGGAAUUUUCCGCAAUGGGCGAAAGCCUGACGGAGCAAUACCGCGUGAGGGAGGAAGGCUCUUGGGUCGUAAACCUCUUUUCUCAGGGAAGAACAAAAUGACGGUACCUGAGGAAUAAGCAUCGGCUAACUCCGUGCCAGCAGCCGCGGUAAUACGGAGGAUGCAAGCGUUAUCCGGAAUGAUUGGGCGUAAAGCGUCCGCAGGUGGCAAUGUAAGUCUGCUGUCAAAGGUCAGGGCUUAACUCUGAACAGGCAGUGGAAACUACACAGCUAGAGUGCGGUGGGGGCAGAGGGAAUUCCCAGUGUAGCGGUGAAAUGCGUAGAGAUUGGGAAGAACACCGGUGGCGAAAGCGCUCUGCUAGGCCGUAACUGACACUCAUGGACGAAAGCUAGGGGAGCGAAUGGGAUUAGAUACCCCAGUAGUC